GACGAACCGUGCGAACGUUAUUCGGAAUCCCUGGGCUUAAAGGGCGCGUAGGCAGGUCCGCCGGUCUGUGGUGAAAUCCUCCGGCUCAACCGGAGAACUGCCGUGGACACUGCGGAUCUCGAGGGGUGUAGGUGCAUGCGGAACUCAGGGUGGAGCGGUGAAAUGCGUAGAUAUCCUGAGGAACGCCGGUGGCGAAAGCGGCGUGCUGGACACCUUCUGACGCCGAGGCGCGAAAGCCAGGGGAGCAAACGGG
rnacentral:rRNA from 1 species